rnacentral:rRNA from 1 species
AGAGUACGUGAAACCGUUUAGGGGUAAACCUGAGAAACCCGAAAGGUCGAAGGGAGAAAUUCACCGCGGUUCGACGAAGAUGAUUAGUUACGGCGAGUGAUCGCGCUCUUCGGACGCGCGGCGCCGCCGUUUCUUUUUUUUCGACGACGAACGCGUGCACUUUUCUCCCGGUAGGACGUCGCGAUCCGUUGGGCGUCGGUCUACGGCUGACGGUGGAGACCGCGAGUCGUUUUUCGGAACGUACUCGCGGACCCGUUUGCACCCCGACCGACUCGCUCGACGGUAUACGAACGGUUUGGGGCCGCUUUUAAAGCGUUCGACUCCGGCCCUUCGCGGGCCGCGAAGUUCUCGGACAGACCCUAUUCGAAAAACCGAUCUGCGACGCUAUAGCUUUGGGUACUUUCAGG